rnacentral:rRNA from 1 species
CAGCAGCCACGGUAAUACGUAGGUGGCAAGCGUUGUCCGGAAUUAUUGGGCGUAAAGGGCUCGCAGGCGGUUACUUAAGUCUGAUGUGAAAGCCCCCGGCUCAACCGGGGAGGGUCAUUGGAAACUGGGAAACUUGAGUGCAGAAGAGGAGAGUGGAACUCCACGUGUAGCGGUGAAAUGCGUAGAGAUGUGGAGGAACACCAGUGGCGAAGGCGACUCUCUGGUCUGUAACUGACACUGAGAGACGAAAGUUAGGGGAGAAAAUGGGAUUAGAUACCCGCGUAGUCCCUGUCUCUUAUAC